rnacentral:sRNA from 1 species
UGGCCUUGCCCUUCGGGGCGUUUCCUCCCUGAACUCGCCGCGCCCGCUGGGCGCGGCCUUUUCGUUUCAGGC